rnacentral:tRNA from 1 species
GGAGAGGUACCGAAGUGGUCGUAACGGGGCCGUCUCGAAAGCGGCUUGGGGGCUAAUCACUCUCACGUGGGUUCGAAUCCCACCCUCUCCGCCA